rnacentral:rRNA from 1 species
CCUACGGGAGGCAGCAGUGGGGAAUAUUGGACAAUGGGCGAAAGCCUGAUCCAGCAAUGCCGCGUGAGUGAUGAAGGCCUUAGGGUUGUAAAGCUCUUUUACCAGGGAUGAUAAUGACAGUACCUGGAGAAUAAGCUCCGGCUAACUCCGUGCCAGCAGCCGCGGUAAUACGGAGGGAGCUAGCGUUGUUCGGAAUUACUGGGCGUAAAGCGUACGUAGGCGGUUAUUCAAGUCAGAGGUGAAAGCCUGGAGCUCAACUCCAGAACUGCCUUUGAAACUAGAUAGCUAGAAUCACGGAGAGGUUAGUGGAAUUCCGAGUGUAGAGGUGAAAUUCGUAGAUAUUCGGAAGAACACCAGUGGCGAAGGCGACUAACUGGACGUGUAUUGACGCUGAGGUACGAAAGCGUGGGGAGCAAACAGGAUUAGAUACCCUGGUAGUCCACGCCGUAAACGAUGAUAACUAGCUGUUCGGUCUCUACGAGACUGAGUGGCGCAGCUAACGCAUUAAGUUAUCCGCCUGGGGAGUACGGUCGCAAGAUUAAAACUCAAAGAUAGUACGCGNGNGAGAGCGACGACGACGACGACGGAGGAGGAG